AUGCAUCUCUGAUAGACCUGGAACAAGCAGAUAAUGUCUGCUACUGAGGUUUCCACUACAGAUGCAAGAAGAAAAAGGUCCUCGUGCUUUCUGUUUCUGUCUGGUUGUGGCAGCCAAGAUUGAAUGGGGGAAUACAGAA
rnacentral:snoRNA from 1 species